rnacentral:rRNA from 1 species
CCUACGGGGGGCUGCAGUGGGGAAUAUUGGACAAUGGGCGAAAGCCUGAUCCAGCCAUGCCGCGUGUGUGAAGAAGGCCUUCGGGUUGUAAAGCACUUUCAGUGGGGAAGAAAGCCUUGGGGCUAAUACCCUCGAGGAAGGACAUCACCCACAGAAGAAGCACCGGCUAACUCCGUGCCAGCAGCCGCGGUAAUACGGAGGGUGCGAGCGUUAAUCGGAAUUACUGGGCGUAAAGCGCGCGUAGGCGGUCUGAUAAGCCGGUUGUGAAAGCCCCGGGCUCAACCUGGGAACGGCAUCCGGAACUGUCAGGCUAGAGUGCAGGAGAGGAAGGUAGAAUUCCCGGUGUAGCGGUGAAAUGCGUAGAGAUCGGGAGGAAUACCAGUGGCGAAGGCGGCCUUCUGGACUGACACUGACGCUGAGGUGCGAAAGCGUGGGUAGCAAACAGGAUUAGAUACCGAGUAUC